GGCUUCGUGGCCCAAUGGCAAGGCGUCUGACUACGAUCAGAACUUGACACAAACAAGUUCACACGCGCGCAAUCAGGAGAUUCUGGGUUCGACCCCCAGCGAGGUCA